ACCAUUACCUAUCUCCACCCCUGCCAGCAUCUCUCCCUGAUCGGUCUUUGUCAAGGAGUUCAAGUGGUCUACCAAGAGUGGUAGUUUGGACUAGAUGACAAGACAACAAGUGAGUCUCCAGAGCGAAAAGGAGACCGCAAAAUGAUGGCAUUUCAGGCAGCAUGACAGAACUAUAUUGCUGUGAACUUCCCUCUCAGAAUCACAUUUGCUGUAUCCACAGAUUUUGUUUCACACCACUGUGGUGAGAAAAGAUGCUUGGUAUGAAAAAAGAAAGAAAAGAAAAGAUGCUUGAAUUUCCCAGAAGGGUUUGUAUAAGAUUCUUUAAUGCCCUGGGAAUAGGGCUGCCUCAGUCCAUAGGGAUUUGUCAGCACCAUGGACAGUAACUCAUAAAGCAAGCCUUUUGGUGAGGGUACGUCUUACCAGGUCAGUAUAAUUUUUGCCUUUAAUAGUUGGUACUUCUUCACCGCUUAGGAAGAGGGUGGAGCAUCCUCAGGGUGGCUGGCCAGGCUCUGAUGAGAUCAGCGAGUAACUUGUAGAAAACGGCUGCCUUGGAGGAAAGAAGGGAAACAGUUGGAGCAUUAAAGAGCCAGCAUAACCCACUGA